ACGGGAGGCAGCAGUGGGGAAUAUUGCACAAUGGGCGCAAGCCUGAUGCAGCAACGCCGCGUGAGUGAUGAAGGUCUUCGGAUUGUAAAACUCUGUCCUUAGGGACGAAACAAAUGACGGUACUUGAGGAGGAAGCCCCGGCUAACUACGUGCCAGCAGCCGCGGUAAUACGUAGGGGGCGAGCGUUAUCCGGAAUUAUUGGGCGUAAAGAGUACGUAGGUGGUUUUGUAAGCGUAAGGUGAAAGCCCGGGGCUUAACUCCGGCGAGCCUUACGAACUGCAUGACUUGAGUGCAGGAGGGGAAAGUGGAAUUCCUAGUGUAGCGGUGAAAUGCGUAGAUAUUAGGAGGAACACCAGUGGCGAAGGCGGCUUACUGGACUGUAACUGACGUUGAGGCUCGAAAGCGUGGGGAGCAAACAGGAUUAGAUACCCUGGUA
rnacentral:rRNA from 1 species